rnacentral:tRNA from 1 species
GGGACUAUAGUUAACAAUAACAUUUGAGUUGCAUUCAAAAAGUGCUGCAACAGAUACAGCUAGCCUCA